UNUGACUUGAGUGCAGAAGGGGAGAGUGGAAUUCCAUGUGUAGCGGUGAAAUGCGUAGAUAUAUGGAGGAACACCAGUGGCGAAAGCGGCUCUCUGNUCUGUCACUGACGCUGAGGCUCGAAAGCGUGGGUAGCGAACAGGAUUAGAUACCCUGGUAGUCCACGCCGUAAACGAUGAGUGCUAGGUGUUAGGCCCUUUCCGGGGCUUAGUGCCGGAGCUAACGCAAUAAGCACUCCGCCUGGGGAGUACGACCGCAAGGUUGAAACUCAAAGGAAUUGACGGGGGCCCGCACAAGCGGUGGAGCAUGUGGUUUAAUUCGAAGCAACGCGAAGAACCUUACCAGGUCUUGACAUCCCGAUGCUAUUCUUAGAGAUAGGAAGUUACUUCGGUACAUCGGAGACAGGUGGUGCAUGGUUGUCGUCAGCUCGUGUCGUGAGAUGUUGGGUUAAGUCCCGCAACGAGCGCAACCCUUAUUGUUAGUUGCCAUCAUUAAGUUGGGCACUCUAGCGAGACUGCCGGUAAUAAACCGGAGGAAGGUGGGGAUGACGUCAAAUCAUCAUGCCCCUUAUGACCUGGGCUACACACGUGCUACAAUGGUCGGUACAACGAGUUGCGAGCCGGUGACGGCAAGCUAAUCUCUGAAAGCCGAUCUCAGUUCGGAUUGGAGGCUGCAACUCGCCUCCAUGAAGUCGGAAUCGCUAGUAAUCGCGGAUCAGCACGCCGCGGUGAAUACGUUCCCGGGCCUUGUACACACCGCCCGUCACACCACGAGAGUUUGUAACACCCGAAGUCGGUGAGGUAACCUUUUAGGGGCCAG
rnacentral:rRNA from 1 species